GUCGUACGCUUCUUUUUCACCGGAGCUUGCUCCACCGGAAAAAGAAGAGUGGCGAACGGGUGAGUAACACGUGGGUAACCUGCCCAUCAGAAGGGGAUAACACUUGGAAACAGGUGCUAAUACCGUAUAACAAUCGAAACCGCAUGGUUUUGAUUUGAAAGGCGCUUUCGGGUGUCGCUGAUGGAUGGACCCGCGGUGCAUUAGCUAGUUGGUGAGGUAACGGCUCACCAAGGCCACGAUGCAUAGCCGACCUGAGAGGGUGAUCGGCCACAUUGGGACUGAGACACGGCCCAAACUCCUACGGGAGGCAGCAGUAGGGAAUCUUCGGCAAUGGACGAAAGUCUGACCGAGCAACGCCGCGUGAGUGAAGAAGGUUUUCGGAUCGUAAAACUCUGUUGUUAGAGAAGAACAAGGAUGAGAGUAACUGUUCAUCCCUUGACGGUAUCUAACCAGAAAGCCACGGCUAACUACGUGCCAGCAGCCGCGGUAAUACGUAGGUGGCAAGCGUUGUCCGGAUUUAUUGGGCGUAAAGCGAGCGCAGGCGGUUUCUUAAGUCUGAUGUGAAAGCCCCCGGCUCAACCGGGGAGGGUCAUUGGAAACUGGGAGACUUGAGUGCAGAAGAGGAGAGUGGAAUUCCAUGUGUAGCGGUGAAAUGCGUAGAUAUAUGGAGGAACACCAGUGGCGAAGGCGGCUCUCUGGUCUGUAACUGACGCUGAGGCUCGAAAGCGUGGGGAGCAAACAGGAUUAGAUACCCUGGUAGUCCACGCCGUAAACGAUGAGUGCUAAGUGUUGGAGGGUUUCCGCCCUUCAGUGCUGCAGCUAACGCAUUAAGCACUCCGCCUGGGGAGUACGACCGCAAGGUUGAAACUCAAAGGAAUUGACGGGGGCCCGCACAAGCGGUGGAGCAUGUGGUUUAAUUCGAAGCAACGCGAAGAACCUUACCAGGUCUUGACAUCCUUUGACCACUCUAGAGAUAGAGCUUCCCCUUCGGGGGCAAAGUGACAGGUGGUGCAUGGUUGUCGUCAGCUCGUGUCGUGAGAUGUUGGGUUAAGUCCCGCAACGAGCGCAACCCUUAUUGUUAGUUGCCAUCAUUCAGUUGGGCACUCUAGCAAGACUGCCGGUGACAAACCGGAGGAAGGUGGGGAUGACGUCAAAUCAUCAUGCCCCUUAUGACCUGGGCUACACACGUGCUACAAUGGGAAGUACAACGAGUCGCGAAGUCGCGAGGCUAAGCUAAUCUCUUAAAGCUUCUCUCAGUUCGGAUUGUAGGCUGCAACUCGCCUACAUGAAGCCGGAAUCGCUAGUAAUCGCGGAUCAGCACGCCGCGGUGAAUACGUUCCCGGGCCUUGUACACACCGCCCGUCACACCACGAGAGUUUGUAACACCCGAAGUCGGUGA
rnacentral:rRNA from 1 species